UAUUAUUUGAUAUUAUGAUUUGUCCUCUUUUUGCUGGACGUCUGGUAAUCAUAAAUUAUAUAUUAUAUGUCAUUUUAUUAUCUAAAUGUUUUAAAAUUAUGUAUACAAAUACAAACUCAUAUUUAAAUUCCGAUAAUCUAAAUCACUAUGUAAAUAUUAAGCUAAAUGCGCAAGUCAAAUAAAUGACAUCUAUAGUGUUCCACAAUUGUGACUAUCUUAAAAAGGUUAAAACUGGGUAAACACCUCCCGAUUUUUUUUAAAUUAAAUUACUGGUAGAUGGCUAUGAAAUGAAGUUUUUCCACAUCCAUUUAUAAACCGAAAAAUAGGUGUAUUGUGCAGGUGAUGUGUCAUUAUCAUUUUUAAAAAGUCUUAAAGACCAACUGAAGAGGUUUUUUUCGAAAUUGAGAUAGCGAUUGAUUGAGAUAGUAGAUAGCAUCAAAGUUAGUUCCUAAAAAUUUGAGAUUUUAGAAAAGCGUAUUUAUAUUCGAAAAUGUAAUUUGAAAGUGUAAAAAAUAACGAGAUUUGAAAAUCAGCUUCAAUGGCCGAAACCGGAAGUGACGUAUUGUAAUGGACUGAGAAAAUAUAAAUAAAAAUAGACAUGGCUGGAUACGUUAUUGAUAGCGAUUCAGAUGAUAAACUUAUCUAAAUCUAGCUGUCCAACAAUUUUAAAUGAUACUUAUCAUGGGAUGCACCAAAAUGCCCUGAAGAGAACUCUUCUACUUUUUCAAAAUAUAUUCUAGAGCAGACUAUUGAAUUAAUAUAAUUAUAGAUAGAUUAUAAUAGGACUAGUCACUAGUUUAGAUCUAUCUAGACUAGAUCUAGUCUACUCUACUCUCUAGUAUCAUCAAGUACUAGUAGUAGUAGUAGAUCAUCUAGGACUAGGUCUAGAAAACAUAUAUGACAUGUGGCAUACAGACAAGUUUACUAGAUGGAUCUUUCAUCAUUUUGGAAAUACAAUAUUCCCUGUGAAACAAAUCACAGAAACAUUCUACAAUUUUAUUUUAUAUAAUAAAUACCAAUAAAUGUAAAUACAAAAUCACA